AGAGCUACCUGCUGAAUUUAAGCAUAUCACUUGGCAGAGGAAGAGACAGCAAUCGCGAUGGCUUCAGUAAUGGCGAAUGAACCAGAUUGACACGGUCUACCCGUAUCGUUGUUGGUCACCUGAUGCGGUGAGCACUGGGUGCACUCCGGGAUGCAAUGCUGGCAUGGGGAUGGCUGUCACGGCUGCACAGACCUACUAUGGCGCCGAUCCAGAGUCAGAGUGGCCUGGGAUGGUCCGCGAUACCUGGGCUACAGCCCUCCUGUCAAGAGGACUGGUCGGUGUUCUUAGCCAUGGUGUGCACACACGCCAGACCCUGGAGUAGAGCUGCUUGGGACUGUAGGUCAAACGGCCAGGCAUGUCCGUGGCAAGGCUGCAUACAGACAUGGGACCGAUAGCUAACAAGUAGACUGAUCGAAACGUGCAAAGGACUCUGCAAAGAGGGUUCAAAGUGCCUGAAGCUGCGG
rnacentral:rRNA from 16 species